CAGAGAGCACCCCGACCACUCCCCCCAGGCCAGACACAGAGGGGCAGGCAGAGGGCCAUGCCAGGAGGAUCCACCAGCACAGAAUUUCCUCCCACUCAAAGGCCGAGAUUCAUGUCUUCUGAGUAAGAAAAUCAAACUCCAUCACUUCGCAAUCAAGAUUAGCCGCAGCCCCAGAGGAUGAAUUACUCACCAGAUUGCCAUCUGGGAAACGUCCACGGCUCUAUCUCUUCCUGGGUGAGGAGUCCCAGAUGUCCAGAUGUGGGGGCCGCUGGCUACCAUGGCGACCAGACCAACACAGAGCAGCCUCUCCACGCUGUGCUCCAGGGAGGUGGCCUAACCCAAAUUCUCUCCUGCCACCAGACCCAGGCUUCCCACUCAAGUGGAAGCAAGUCCCUAAGAGGGUCUCAAAUGCCCGCUGUCUGUCAUCCACCAAAGCCCAGCUAGGGGUCCAAUGGAACACCACACAGACCAGAAGCUUCUGGAAGAUGGAGGGCAGGCUCUUCCACCCUGGAUCACUGUCCUGAUGGAAGAGGCUCAGAAAUAGCAGCCUUGGAAGUCGUGCCCACCUCCCCCUGGACCACGAGCGACCCUCACCCAGAGCGGCCCUGCCUGCACAUAUGAGAAUGCUGCCCCUGCCCUGUGAAGCCCCCAUGCUUGUCCACCAAGAAGAAGUUUUGCAGCUGGGAUGGCCAUGACCUGUCGGGGAGACGAGAUGGAAUUCUACUCAGUGGCUCUUCUAAUAAAGCCAUUAUGUUCCUAAGAAAAGGGGCACAGCUGGCAGAUACCCCCUGCCCUGCCCUGCUCUUUCUUCCCUCCUGGAGCACAGAGGGUGUCUGGCCACGGAGCCAGCACCCUUGGAAGCCAGACUGAAGCUCACACUGAAGGAGGAGCAGACUCUUGGCGUCCACACCAGCCCCAGACUGCCUCUCUCUGGACGUCUUGAGAAAAGGGGAAACGGACGCUGUCCCAAAGUGAUGGACAAACUGCUGCUACUUCUGUCAAACACAGCUCUGCUGAGUGAAAAGACCUGCCUGUUCCCAGGCCUCCCCAGCCAGACCCUGAAAUGGGGCAGGCCUUCCCCCCAGGGUCAGAGGGUGCCCCAUCCACCUAGCACCCUGCCCAAGAGCAGGGCACCUGUUUCCUUGAGGUGCCCAGCCCAUCUCCUCUGGCCCCUCACCUCACUGGAGAUGGCAUGUCCCUUGUCACAGCAGCUGCCUCCUCCCUGGCGGGAGCCUUGCAGAACAACUCAGUCCAUGAUGACUGUCCAGGUGACCAUCCAUGGUGACCAUCCAUGCCACACAGACGGCUGGGGGCUUCUGAGACCUGCGUUUCUGCUCUUCAAGGAGUCAACAGCCAACUCCUCGGGUCAGAAGAAGGUGGCGCUACAGCCCAGUCUUGAGGCCUCUCCUGAAGGCGUUCGGGCAGAUCCACUGAG
ensembl:lncRNA